rnacentral:rRNA from 1 species
AGCGAACGCUGGCGGCAGGCCUAACACAUGCAAGUCGAACGAAGUCUUCGGACUUAGUGGCGGACGGGUGAGUGACACGUGGGAACGUGCCUUUAGGUUCGGAAUAACUCAGGGAAACUUGUGCUAAUACCGAAUGUGCCCUUCGGGGGAAAGAUUUAUCGCCUUUAGAGCGGCCCGCGUCUGAUUAGCUAGUUGGUGAGGUAAUGGCUCACCAAGGCUACGAUCAGUAGCUGGUGUGAGAGGAUGACCAGCCACAUUGGGACUGAGACACGGCCCAAACUCCUACGGGAGGCAGCAGUGGGGAAUCUUGCGCAAUGGGCGAAAGCCUGACGCAGCCAUGCCGCGUGGAUGAUGAAGGUCUUAGGAUUGUAAAAUCCUUUCACCGGUGAAGAUAAUGACUGUAGCCGGAGAAGAAGCCCCGGCUAACUUCGUGCCAGCCGCCGCCGUAACAC